rnacentral:rRNA from 1 species
UAGUCCUAGCCGUAAACGAUGGGCACUAGAUGGGAGGCGCAAGCUUUCUGUCGUAGCUAAUGCAUUAAGUGCCCCGCCUGGGGAGUAUGGUCGCAAGGCUAAAACUCAAAGGAAUUGACGGGGGCUCACACAAGCGGUGGAGCAUGUUGCUUAAUUCGAGGAUACGCGAAGAACCUUACCUGGGUUUGACAUGUUUGGAUUAGGCCUAUGAAAAUAGGUUGACGCUCAUUCAGAGUGGAACUUGCACAGGUGUUGCAUGGCUGUCGUCAGCUCGUGUCGCGAGAUGUCGGGUUAAGUCCUUUAACGAGCGAAACCCUUAUCCUUAGUUGCCAGCGGGUAGUGCCGGGGACUCUAGGGAGACUGCCGGUGUUAAACCGGAGGAAGGCGGGGACGACGUCAAGUCAUCAUGGCCCUUAUGCCCAGGGCGGCAAACGUGCUACAAUGGGAUGUACAGAGAGAAGCAAGACCGCGAGGUGGAGCAAAUCUCAAAAAUAUCCCCAGUUCGGAUU